GCGGCCUAUCAGCUUGUUGGUGAGGUAAUGGCUCACCAAGGCGACGACGGGUAGCCGGCCUGAGAGGGCGACCGGCCACACUGGGACUGAGACACGGCCCAGACUCCUACGGGAGGCAGCAGUGGGGAAUAUUGGGCAAUGGAGGAAACUCUGACCCAGCGACGCCGCGUGCGGGAUGAAGGCCUUCGGGUUGUAAACCGCUUUCAGCAAGGAAGAAGCGAAAGUGACGGUACUUGCAGAAGAAGCACCGGCUAACUAUGUGCCAGCAGCCGCGGUAAUACAUAGGGUGCAAGCGUUGUCCGGAAUUAUUGGGCGUAAAGAGCUCGUAGGUGGUUCGUCACGUCGGAUGUGAAAAUCUGGGGCUUAACCCCAGACCUGCAUUCGAUACGGGCGAGCUAGAGUGUGGUAGGGGAGACUGGAAUUCCU
rnacentral:rRNA from 1 species